rnacentral:lncRNA from 10 species
GCGAGAGCUGGGAACACACGGUAAAGGAGAUCCCAGGGUCCCUGCCGUGCCGCGCUCACGGGCACUGGGGAGAGACUGACAGGUAAAGCCAGGCAGUGCGGCCACCGCUCCCAGAGGAUGCGUCCAGCCUUUCUGCACCCCUGGGGGCGCCUGUGCUGAAGAGAUGGACAUUAGUUGACCUUUAUUCGUGUCUUCAGUUCCCUGAAAUAAUUAAGAACCAGAGCAACAGAUGAUUUGCGGUUCGAUCUUGAUGGCCACUGCUUUGAAAUGUGGUUUUUGGAAAGUCUGAAGUUUGGCUGUAGAGCAAUUUUAACCCUGGGUCACAGCGCCGAGGCACAUCAGGGCCAGGCCUCUGCACCUGCCGGCCCUCUCGCCGCUCUGCAGCUCACGUGGUACAGCUUUCUUAGGGGAUUCCUGAUGCUCUGUGAGGCUGAACCAGCAGGCAGGGCUGAGGAUGAAAGGGCUCCCCCUCCUCCCCGGCACGGCUGCACCCACAGCCAUCCAGCAUGAUGGGAGGUGACACUGUCCCUGGGCCGAGAGUCCUUCCUUCUCCAUUUCCUACUUGGUUUCUUACCAGGACCUUGGCAAUGUCCCGUGAACAAUGGUUCUUUGUCCCUGGCUGAGUUCAACCAUUCAGUAAAGCAAUCCUCUCAUCUGAGCCUCCAGAAUUCCUUCACUAUUGCUGUCAAUUUUUCUUUCUUUCUUGGAUAUUUUUGUUUACCUUUCAUUGUUUACUAAACAAAACGUUCCUCUAUAGCUGGUGGCCCACACCCUGCGGGAGCUAUUUCUGCCCAGCCCCCAACUUCUGCAUUCCGACCUCAGCAUUACCCCAGCAGUGGUGGCUGUUGACUUGGUCACA